rnacentral:piRNA from 1 species
UCAACAUCUGGGUGAAGGACUUAGGAGC